AUUCUUUCAUCACUCUAUUUUUCUUUUUGUUUCAGUAUGAACAGAACACACUACUCAGUCCGUUAUCCAAUGGAAACUGUCAUGGCGAACCAUCGUUACAGCAACGGCCCAAUGAAAGGCAUUCCCUAAUAUUCGACUGCAGUGGCCUGACUUUCUUUGACUACACUGGCAUCUCUAUGCUUACUCAGAUCUACAUGGAAUCUAAAAAAAGAAAUAUUGAUGUUUUGCUGGCAAAUUGCAAAGG